AUUCCUGCAUCAGACUACAGACCAGGGCUUGGAUUUGGCUGUGUUCCUCUGCUGAAGGUUACAGCUACUGCCGCACAGCUGUCUUUGUACAGAUCUCCCCAGGUCUCCCCAGAUAAAGCCACACUGUAAGGUUCCAGAUGGCCACACUUAUUUGGAGACAGCAUUUAACACAAUGCUACUUCUACCUCUAUGAGAACCUGGUGAAGAGGACACAGCCAGAGCUUUGCUCUAAAGGUUCCAAAUGCACAUCUAACUAACCAUCCAACUGGUCCCAUCAGCCAAUGUAUCUCUUUGUUACCUCAAGGGAGUUUGAUUUAGGUUUUCAUCAAUAUAGCUUCAUAUUUUCAA
rnacentral:lncRNA from 1 species